rnacentral:lncRNA from 1 species
UUUAUCAAAAUCUGGGAAAUGAAAAAACAACUGCCUAAUAAUUUUGUCUCGCUAAAAUUUGAUUCUAGGAUCAUAAUUUUCAACCCACUUCAAUAAUUAUUAAGCAUCUUUUUCCAUCUUAAUUGUCAAUAUAAAUAAUAUCACAUAUUAAUCCUCUAUAUAAAAUCCAACCUAGAAAAAAAGAAGAGAAAAGUUCAUUGAAUAGAACCAAAAAUAUGUAGAAUCAAACAAGUAACUCAGCAUACAUCGAAAAAUUAGUUGAAACGGUAGAUUAAUUAACAACUAAAGGCAUCUCUCGAGAAGCCAUUAGAUUUCCACAAGAACCAUUUUAUUUUUCUCUCUCAAAAUUUGCACUCAAAGAGAACAAAGAAAUUUCAAAGUUUCUCAAAUUUCUAAAACUUGAAUUUCUUGAGUAGACACACAAUCCAAAUGUGCACCACAUUUACAAGCCAAACAACAAUAAAACCAACAAGUCUUCCCAACACCUUUUUUACAAACAUAACACAACACAUCAACUUCCACCUCCUUUCCUACAAACAAGUUACUACUAUUAUAACACAACGUAAGUGGAUGUUGAUGAUCUCCCCUCUCUUCAAUUUCAGGCAAACAAGCACACUCCACGUGAAGAUCAAACUUACAUUUCUCACAAUGAAAUGUAAACGCGUGGCCCGAAUUCCCACAUGCAUCGCACGUGUAUUCCCCAUCGUAAUAAGGAGGUUUAAAAUGGAGACUUAAAGUGUGUUUCGGGUGAGACUUAUGUUUAAUUUGCCUAGGCAAAUCGAAACAAGAGUCGUGGAGGAUGAAGUUGCAGUUCAUUUUUGUGCACGUGUAAGCGGACCCGCCCAAGAGGUCGUGCUCACAGCCGGAGCAAAUGACUUGAUCUUCUUCAUCGAGGAUAUCGGAGACUUUUAUUAAUGGGUGUCGAUGGCUGAAAUGGCUGAACUCUUCUAUUGGAGGACUUUCCAUUGUGUGAUCUGAUUGUAGAAGUCAAAUUUUCUUGUGUAUUUAUAAUAGGGGACAAUUACAUUUUUUGUCCCUUAGUUAUUAACAUGUUGCAAAUUUGGUCCUUGUGAUAUACUAGAAUAAUGUAUAUGUUACCUUUCAAGUAAUGUAUUUGUGCAGUUUUAGUCCUUCCACUAACAUAUUUCUGUUGAAUUAAUAAAUCUUUUAAAUGGAGAAUCAUAUGAAUGGAGCACCUUUUAUGUGUUUGUUUUGUUUCUCACUCUGAGUUUGGUACUUACUAUCCAUAAUGAAGCUCCAACUAAUCAGAAAUCGUGUCGUGUAAGGUUACUUUUAGGAGGAAGCGCUUCCUAAUAUGAUUUUUUUUAUAUCAAAGACUUGACCCUGAUACAUUUAAUUAAAACUUAGAAUCUUAUUCAUCUCAUGACCACAAUUCUUGUUGGUGCCUUUAUGUUACUAUAAGAAAGCAAUGCUAGUACUUUCAUUUAUUACUUUGAGGUAGGAACCUUGAAAAUUUAUUAGAGGAGAAAUUCAGACAAAUCUACUAAUUGAAGGUUAAAUAUGUUCAAUUAGAUAUUAUAGAGGUCAAACUAAUAAAUUUGACAAUUAAGGGACCAAAAUUAAAUAAUAUUUUCAAUUAAUUUGUUUCCACCUUCCCCUUUUCACAAGGAACUGGCAUAGUUAAGACCCAACUCCUUGUGCACUUCUGUGAAGGUGACAAUUUUGUUUGACUAAGUCAAUCUUAUGCCUUGUGGGAAGGUUCAUAAAGUUUGAAAUAAUUAAUCUUUGAUUAUUCUUAUACCUUAUGCUCGAAAAUUAUGUACAUUAAGUUUUUAUGUGUCAUAUUAUAAACGGCAAGCUCGAUUUAAUUCAGUUUUGUCUUCUUUUAAAAAGGAAAGUUGAAAAGUAUUUCGAAUUUGUCUAGUUCUUUUUAGUUUGAUAUUUAUUAUGUUUGGUACUAAUAUAAUUCCAGGCCAGGCUCCAGAUAUUAAAAGGUUAGAUCCAAAAAACAAUUGAAUUUGGAUCAUGCAAAGAAAGAGAAACACUAUGUUAGGUGCACCUAUAAUACUAAAUUAAAACAGGUUUAAGAAUAUUGCUUCAAAAUGAUUAAGAUAUCAAUGGAUACUGGUCGAAAAUGUAGUUAUCUGAAAUGUUGGAAUAAUAAUGGUGAAUAUGAACGUGAGAAGAAUAAUUAACAACCUGUUAUGAAUGUAUUUAUAUUAUAGUGGUCGAAAAUGUAGUUAUCUGAAAUGUUGGAAUAAUAAUGGUGAAUAUGAACGUGAGAAGAAUAAUUAACAACCUGUUAUGAAUGUAUUUAUAUUAUAGUGGUCGAAAAUGUAGUUAUCUGAAAUGUUGGAAUAAUAAUGGUGAAUAUGAACGUGUUGAUGAUCUCCCCUCUCUUCAAUUUCAGGCAAACAAGCACACUCCACGUGAAGAUCAAACUUACAUUUCUCACAAUGAAAUGUAAACGCGUGGCCCGAAUUCCCACAUGCAUCGCACGUGUAUUCCCCAUCGUAAUAAGGAGGUUUAAAAUGGAGACUUAAAGUGUGUUUCGGGUGAGACUUAUGUUUAAUUUGCCUAGGCAAAUCGAAACAAGAGUCGUGGAGGAUGAAGUUGCAGUUCAUUUUUGUGCACGUGUAAGCGGACCCGCCCAAGAGGUCGUGCUCACAGCCGGAGCAAAUGACUUGAUCUUCUUCAUCGAGGAUAUCGGAGACUUUUAUUAAUGGGUGUCGAUGGCUGAAAUGGCUGAACUCUUCUAUUGGAGGACUUUCCAUUGUGUGAUCUGAUUGUAGAAGUCAAAUUUUCUUGUGUAUUUAUAAUAGGGGACAAUUACAUUUUUUGUCCCUUAGUUAUUAACAUGUUGCAAAUUUGGUCCUUGUGAUAUACUAGAAUAAUGUAUAUGUUACCUUUCAAGUAAUGUAUUUGUGCAGUUUUAGUCCUUCCACUAACAUAUUUCUGUUGAAUUAAUAAAUCUUUUAAAUGGAG